rnacentral:rRNA from 1 species
CAGUGAUAAACUGGAGGAAGGUGGGGAUGACGUCAAGUCAUCAUGGCCCUUACGACCAGGGCUACACACGUGCUACAAUGGCGCAUACAAAGAGAAGCGACCUCGCGAGAGCAAGCGGACCUCAUAAAGUGCGUCGUAGUCCGGAUUGGAGUCUGCAACUCGACUCCAUGAAGUCGGAAUCGCUAGUAAUCGUGGAUCAGAAUGCCACGGUGAAUACGUUCCCGGGCCUUGUACACACCGCCCGUCACACCAUGGGAGUGGGUUGCAAAAGAAGUAGGUAGCUUAACCUUCGGGAGGGCGCUUACCACUUUGUGAUUCAUGACUGGGGUGAAGUCGUAACAA